CAAUAGCGUAUACUAAAGUUGUUGCAGUUAAAAAGCUCGUAGUUGGAUUUCUGGCUCGGCAAGCCUAGCCCGAGGACCUGGUGUCCUUGUGAGCUGGCGCUUGUCGGCCAUCCUUCAGGAGAGUGUUUCUGCCCUUGAUUGGGUUGGGGACAGGAUCCUGAUCGUUUACUUUGAAAAAAUUAGAGUGUUCAAAGCAGGCGUGUGCUGUGAAUACAUUAGCAUGGAAUAAUAAGAUAGGACUUCGGCCCUAUUUUGUUGGUUCUGGAGCUGAGGUAAUGAUUGAUAGGGAUAGUUGGGGGUGCUCGUAUUCAACGGCCAGAGGUGAAAUUCUUGGAUUCGUUGAAGACGAACUUAUGCGAAAGCAUUCACCAAGGAUGUAUUCGUUAA
rnacentral:rRNA from 1 species